AAUGGCAGACCUAAUGGGCAUCGUAAAACUCCAACUUCACGAACCCUCCAGGUCCUUCAACAACUAUGCACCUCCAACACAAGGUACUCACUCUCUUCCUAUCUUGUCCACUCCACAAAAUGUAUCACUACCAUCCAGUGCUCUUUCUUAUAUACAGUUUGGUAAUAAUGUUUCACAACCUGUUCUUCAUGAGAUGCUCCCUGAAUACAGUGCCAUCUCUUAUGGUACGGUGUCCUCUAUAAGUCAUCCUCUUCACCAAACCAGACCCCUAACCCAAACCCCAAUUUAUACCAACACCACUCAUCCCCUCACCACUCCCUGGUCGACCGGGUUUAGACCCUCAGAUUUCUUCUCCCACCCACCUUUCACCUCCACUAUUCCCCAAACAAACCCAUACCUCUCUCGUUCCUCGUUGGAAAACCCAAAUAACUUUCGCCUGGGAGGGGGACCUUAUUCCGAGACACCCACUUUUCGCCCCAGCUCUAGUGUGCUCCAACCCCAUUAUAAAUUUCCCAAGAUGGAUUUUCCGAUUUUUGAUGGUAAAGAGGUCCGAAGCUGGAUAAAGAAAACUGAAAAAUUCUUUAUGUUAAACCCUCUCAUGGACUCUCGCACUAAAGUGGUUUAUGCUGCACUUUACUUGGAAGGAGAAGCGGACAGAUGGUAUCAAACCAUACAAGAACUACACCCUUGUGCGACCUGGGAAACAUUUAUUGCUCUGCUUCUUCAGCGUUUCUCUUCAGGGAGUCAAGAAAACUUGAUUGGACAGUUUAAUAAAUUGAUGCAAAAAGGCAGUGUCGAGUCUUAUAUAGCGGAGUUUGAAGAUUUAAG
rnacentral:lncRNA from 1 species